UUGGUCUAUAUCUCUGUUUGGUACCAGUACCAUGCUGUUUUAAUUACUAUAGCCUUGUAGUAUAGUUUGAAGUCAGGUAGCAUGUUGCCUCCAGCUUUGUUCUUUUUGCUUAGGAUCGUCUUGGCAAUGCGGGCUCUGUUUUGGCUCCAUAUUAAGUUUAAGGUGCCUUUUCCAGUUCUGUGAAGAGGAUCAUAGGUAGCUUGAUGGAGAUAACAUUGAAUCUAUAAAUUACUUUGGGCAAUAUGGCCAUUUUCACAAUAUUGAUUCUUCCUAAUUAUGAGCAUGGAAUGUUUUUCCAUCUGUUUGUGUCCUCUUUUAUUUCCUUGAGCAGUGGUUUGUAGUUGUCCUUGAUGAAGUCCUUUACGUCUUUUGUUAGUUGUACUUCUAGGUAUUUUAUUCUUUUUGUAGUAAUUGAGAAUGGGAGUUA